GAGAGCAGGCCGCCGCCGAGAAGGCCAGGGCCAAGGAAGAUUUCAGGGCGGCCGCACCGGCUACUGCUGCUGCAUCCGCGGUCGCAGGCGGUCUGAAGCCCGCGGGUCGGGCGCGUCCCUCCUCGGGGCUGGGCGCCCAGCGGGCUCUGCAGCUCGGGCCGCUCAGGCUGCAGAACCGAACUUCCACUUUGAUGAUGAGAAUAUCUUCUAGAGCAGAGUAUCCUUCAGCAUGAGCUAACAAGCAUCUGGGCCAAUGGGGAUCUUGCAGAAGCCAUGGGAGCCUUAGGAGCUGUGGGCAGACUGGUGCCCCUUGCCACCCCGUGGGACUUUGAUAGAAGAAUUGCUGCUUCCUGUCCAGAGACCUCCAACAGCUCCAUCUGUCUCAAGGGACUUUACUCUCAUAUCUUCAUGAAGAGUCAACCUUUCUGC